rnacentral:misc_RNA from 1 species
UACAGAGACCUCAAACGUUAUCCGGAUUCAUUGGGCGUAAAGCGUCCGCAGGUGGUGGCGUAAGUAAAUGGUCAAAUCUUGGGGCUUAACUCCAAGACUGCUGUUUAAACUGCGCCGCUUGAGGUUGGAAGAGGCAAGCGGAACUAUCGGUGUAGUCGUAAUAAGCGCUGAUAUCGAUAGGAACACCAAAGGCGAAGGCAGCUUGCUAGUACAAACCUGACACUCAUGGACGAAAGCGUGGGUAGCGAAUGGG